rnacentral:rRNA from 1 species
UACGUAGGGGGCGAGCGUUGUCCGGAAUUAUUGGGCGUAAAGAGCUCGUAGGCGGCUUAGUAAGUCGGCGGUGAAAUACCGAGGCUCAACCUCGGCACUGCCGUCGAUACUGCUAUGGCUAGAGUUUGGUAGAGGAGAACGGAAUUCCCGGUGUAGCGGUGGAAUGCGCAGAUAUCGGAGGAACACCGAUGGCGAAGGCAGGU